rnacentral:rRNA from 1 species
CUGAGCUAUCAUGCCACCCUGAGUAUAUAUCACAUCUGGUUUCAGAAGCUAAGCAGGUCAGGCUUGAUUUGGGCUUAGAUGGGAGACCAUAGAGAAUGCAAAGGACUGCCUAGG